UACGUAGGGUGCGAGCGUUGUCCGGAAUUACUGGGCGUAAAGAGCUCGUAGGCGGUUUGUCACGUCUGCUGUGAAAUCCCGAGGCUCAACCUCGGGCCUGCAGUGGGUACGGGCAGACUGGAGUGCGGUAGGGGAGAAUGGAAUUCCUGGUGUAGCGGUGGAAUGCGCAGAUAUCAGGAGGAACACCGGUGGCGAAGGCGGGUCUCUGGGCCGAUACUGACGCUGAGGAGCGAAAGCGUGGGGAGCGAACAGG
rnacentral:rRNA from 1 species